rnacentral:rRNA from 1 species
GGGAGCUUGCUCCCUGAUGUUAGCGGCGGACGGGUGAGUAACACGUGGGUAACCUGCCUGUAAGACUGGGAUAACUCCGGGAAACCGGGGCUAAUACCGGAUGGUUGUUUGAACCGCAUGGUUCAGACAUAAAAGGUGGCUUCGGCUACCACUUACAGAUGGACCCGCGGCGCAUUAGCUAGUUGGUGAGGUAACGGCUCACCAAGGCGACGAUGCGUAGCCGACCUGAGAGGGUGAUCGGCCACACUGGGACUGAGACACGGCCCAGACUCCUACGGGAGGCAGCAGUAGGGAAUCUUCCGCAAUGGACGAAAGUCUGACGGAGCAACGCCGCGUGAGUGAUGAAGGUUUUCGGAUCGUAAAGCUCUGUUGUUAGGGAAGAACAAGUGCCGUUCAAAUAGGGCGGCACCUUGACGGUACCUAACCAGAAAGCCACGGCUAAUUACGUGC